rnacentral:rRNA from 1 species
CCGGCUACGGAUGGUCAUGCGUCGCAUUAGCUAGUUGGCGGGGUAACGGCCCACCAAGGCGACGAUGCGUAGGGGUUCUGAGAGGAAGGUCCCCCACACUGGUACUGAGACACGGACCAGACUCCUACGGGAGGCAGCAGUGAGGAAUAUUGGUCAAUGGCCGCAGGGCUGAACCAGCCAAGUCGCGUGAGGGAUGACGGUCCUAUGGAUUGUAAACCUCUUUUGUCAGGGAGCAAAGGGCGCCACGUGUGGCGCUUUGCGAGUACCUGAAGAAAAAGCAUCGGCUAACUCCGUGCCAGCAGCCGCGGUAAUACGGAGGAUGCGAGCGUUAUCCGGAUUUAUUGGGUUUAAAGGGUGCGCAGGCGGAAUGUCAAGUCAGCGGUAAAAUUUCGGGGCUCAACCCCGUCGUGCCGUUGAAACUGGCGUUCUUGAGUGAGCGAGAAGUAUGCGGAAUGCGUGGUGUAGCGGUGAAAUGCAUAGAUAUCACGCAGAACUCCGAUUGCGAAGGCAGCAUACCGGCGCUCAACUGACGCUCAUGCACGAAAGCGUGGGUAUCGAACAGGAUUAGAUACCCUGGUAGUCCACGCAGUAAACGAUGAAUACUAACUGUCCGGGCAGAAUGAUGCCUGG